rnacentral:tRNA from 1 species
GGUAUAGCGUAGUUGGUUAACGCGUCAGUUUGUGGCACUGAAGACCAUCGGUUCGAAUCCGAUUAC